UAUGGAGGCACACAGUAGGGAACUUCCAUGAGCCAAGUCUGAUGGAGCAACCCGCGUAACGAUGUAGGUCUCGAUGUUAAAGUUCUGUUUGUCAGGAAGAAACAACGUACGUUCGAACUAGGGCGUACCUUGACCGGUACCCUGACGAGGAAAAGCUACUGUCUACACUAACGUGUCAGACAGCCCGCGGCUAAUAACGUAGAUGGCAAGUCGUUGUCCGGGAUUUAUUGGCGUAAAGCGCGCGCAGGCGGGCUAUGUAAGUCUGAUGUUAAUAGCCCGGUGCAUCUAACCCCAGGUUUGCAUCUGCAAAACUGUGUAGCUUGAGUGCAGAAGAGGAAAAGCGGUAUUUCCACGUGUAGCCGGUGAAAUGCGUAGAGAUGUGGAGGAACACCAGUGGCGAAAGGCGCUUUCUGGUCUGUAUCUGACGCUGAGGCGCGAAAGCGUGGGGAGCAAACAGGAU
rnacentral:rRNA from 1 species